GACGAUUCCUCGGCCUUGUCCCCUGCCCUUACUUGCCUAUGUUCUACUCGGUACCCUCACCGCAGUCGCCGGCCUUGUUUGAGUUAUGCCUUCUUUGCGCGGCGACAGCCUGGUUAAAUUCAUGUGCAGGAGUCGCCUUCACUUGAAAACAUCCGUCGAGACCUGCACAUUUAGUUUUGGUGGUUUUGACGCUGUGCGAAUGGCUGAGGCCGUCUCUGCGAUGCACUUUCAGCGCGUAGACUGUCGUUUUGUACGUUGGUGGUAACGACGUUUGCAGUGCCAACGCGGACCCUCAAGAUAUAUGCGACAAUAUAGGGAAGUUAGUUCUGCAACUGCAGCACGAUGUGGCCCCCGUGGUGUAUACGUCUUCAAAGUGCUGCCACGUUGCUCCAGCUCUGAAGACGCCGAUGCGGAGCGCCAGAUCAAGAAAACGCGCUUGCUGAACCGCAAGCUGACGGCUACGCUGAAACGCCUGCCGUGUGUUCGAAUCUUGAACGCCGAGCAUGUUGGUCUUCAUUCGAGAGCUGUCUCACCUUUGGAUGUACAGAGGCAUCCACUUCCACCUUGAGCACCGCACCGUGCAGCCAACGCUCCGCGGAGCAUCUCUCGCGGGCGGCUGGGGCACGCAAGCGCAGUGACAACUGUAGGUGGUGCCUUCGCCGCGUCGUCUGCUAAAGCGCAGCGGCUCCGCCCAAUCGCGCUUGCUCUUCGAUGAAGCAUCGGUUUCUCAAUUCCUCGAAAGAGCCACGACGUGCGCCCUUAGCAAUUGAUGGGUACCAUGUGCACAGAGGCCAAGGGAUCGAUCAGCUGGCCAAAAUCGUCAGUUCUCUUGCCCGUGACUUCGGACCUGGAGUGAAGUCACAUGGACACAGCGAGCUGGGUAUCUGCUACAGGCUGCUGAAGUGCAGCCACUGCAACACAAAAGGCCGCGAAGUCCUGCGAGUGCAAGAUU